rnacentral:rRNA from 1 species
UACGUAGGGUGCAAGCGUUGUCCGGAAUUAUUGGGCGUAAAGAGCUCGUAGGCGGUUUGUCGCGUCUGCUGUGAAAAUCCAGGGCUUAACCCUGGACCUGCAGUGGGUACGGGCAGACUGGAGUGCGGUAGGGGAGAUCGGAAUUCCUGGUGUAGCGGUGAAAUGCGCAGAUAUCAGGAGGAACACCGGUGGCGAAGGCGGUCUGCUGGGCAGUUGCUGACACUGAGGCGCGACAGCGUGGGGAGCAAACAGG